GGGUGCAAUAAUUGAAUAAUAUAGAUUUCUAAAUGUAUUUUGCAACGCGAGCGGUGUAGUUAGCCUGUUAUUCUAAAAUGUAUACAAUUAAUUUUUAUCCUCAUCAAUCUACACACAACACCCCAUAACGACAAAGAGAAAACAAAUUUUUAGAAAUAAAAAACAGAAAUACCUUAUUUACAUAAGUAUUCAGACCCUUUGCUAUGAGAUCAGCUGCAUCCUGUUUCCAUUGAUCAUCCUUGAGAUGUCUCUACAACUUGAUUGGAGUCCAGCUGUGAUAAAUUCAAUUGAUUGGACAUGAUUUGGAAAGGCACACACCUGUCUAUAUAAGGUCCUAUAGUUGACAGUGCAUGUCAGAGCAAAAACCAAAACAUGAGGUUGAAGGAAUUGUCCGUAGAGCUCCGAGACAGGAUGGUGUCGAGGCACAGAUCUGGGGAAGGGUACCAAAACAUGUCUGCAGCAAACCAGUAAAUCAAGCCAGUCAACCAAGCCAGUCAACGUCAAUCACUCCAGUCAAUCACUCCAGUCAAUCACUCCAGUCAAUCACUCCAGUCAAUCACUCUAGUCAAUCACUCCAGUCAAUCACUCCAGUCAAUCACUCCAGUUAAUCACUCUAGUCAAUCACUCCAGUUAAUCACUCCAGUUAAUCAAGCCAGUCAAUUCUAGGGUUACAAUUAUCAAGGUACUGUCAAGUUAUAGGGGGGUUAAAAGAUUUGGAGCUUUGUAAUUUGAACGAUUGAGAUCCGACAACCCGAUCAAACAAAAAAACAUUAUAAAAAUGAGACAAAGAUCAUGAUAGUCAGUAUUUCAAAUAAAAAGACAAACUAAAUCUCUUCUUUUUUUUUCCAGAACCAAAUACUGUAUUACAAUAUACAUUUAAUUUUUACACACACAUAUCAGAAUGAUAUUACUAUUGGUUCACACCCAAUGCAUUGUUAGUGUGAUAUAAUGUCCAUUGUCCAUAGGAGGCCAGAUCACUAUCAGAAUGUUCUGUCCCCAUCUCUAUCUGGGUAAAAAAAAAAAGGAAAAAAAAAGUGCUCAUUGUAAAAUCCUCACAUUGUCUAAGUUAAUAAGUCCCAAAUUGCACCCUAUUCCCUACAUAGUGCACUACUUUUGACCAGCGGGCCCAUUGGGAAUAGGGUACCAUUUUAGACACUUGGCACCCUAUUCCCUACAUAGUGCACUACUUUUGACCAGGGCCUGUAGGGAAUAGGGUACCAUUUCAGACACUUGGCACCCUAUUCCCUAUAUAGUGCACUACUUUUGACCAGGGCCUGUAGGGAAUAGGGUGUCACAGGGGCUGCUAUUAGAGACAGUCAUCUCACUCUCUGUAUGAUACCAAAGCCAUACAUACAGAACCCAAUCAAACAAAUGACGGUUAUCUUUCGUGAAUCUAAAACUCCUUUCUCUAUCGUCCAUGGCUGACUGACUGUUGGUGAUCACCUCCAUAUUGAUCUCCCGUAGCAUUGAUCUCCCGCAGCGUUGAUCUCCCGCAGCGUUGACCUCCCGCAGCGUUGACCUCCCGUAGUGUUGACCUCCCGUAGCGUUGACCUCCCGUAUCGUUGACCUCCCGUAGUGUUGACCUCCCGUAUCGUUGACCUUCCGUAGCGUUGACCUCCCGUAGCGUUAAUCUCUCAUAGCGUUGACCUCCCAUAGCGUUAAUCUCUCAUAGCGUUAAUCUCCCAUAGCGUUGAUCUCCCAUAGCGUUGAUCUCUCAUAGCGUUAAUCUCUCAUAGCGUUAAUCUCUCAUAGCGUUAAUCUCUCAUAGCGUUGACCUCCCAUAGCGUUAAUCUCUCAUAGCGUUAAUCUCUCAUAGCGUUAAUCUCUCAUAGCGUUAAUCUCUCAUAGCGUUGAUCUCUCAUAGCGUUAAUCUCUCAUAGCGUUAAUCUCUCAUAGCGUUAAUCUCUCAUAGCGUUAAUCUCUCAUAGCGUUGAUCUCCCACAGCGUUGAUCUCCCACAGCGUUGAUCUCUCAUAGCGUUGAUCUCUCAUAGCGUUGAUCUCUCAUAGCGUUAAUCUCCCACAGAUUUGAGAAGUUUUCCGUGAGAACCAGGCCACACUGCAUCGGUUCCUUCCUUCCGAUGUGUAGAAUUUAAAAACAGGAGCCUAUCUAUCUAUCUAUCUAUCUAUCUAUCUAUCUAUCUAUCUAUAUAUAUAUAUAUAUAUAUAUAUAUAUCUAUGUAGUAGUGAUAUGGGAGAGCAGAUGGUCCCAGUCCUGUCUGUGUGAGGAGUUAGAGGAGUAGGAUACAGUUUCCCCUAAAUGCUCAUCUUGGGUCAGCCCCCCACUUCCGGUUAACCCUUUACACUCCUGGGAAUUGGCCUACAUGGAUAGGGCUGAAUUAAAAUGUUUCUUACAGACGAAAUAUGACAAGCAUAUGCAUAACCAUGGUAGCAAUUGAAAGGGAACAGUUUGGAGAUCAUGGGAAAAUUAUUAGACCAAAGGUGAGGACACAACAGUUCACCUGACACAAGACUGAAUUCAAACAUUACACUGUUGAUUUUAUGUUCAUUUUACAUAUACUGUACUUUUCACAUUAUUGGUUGAUAACGAAAUCUGAAAUACUCUGGAUAUAUUCAGUAACAUGUUAAGAAUAUUGCUGGAAAAUGGGGUUUAAAGGGGUUGAAUGAGAGGUCUGACUGGUGUCUCCAAGUGGCCACAUACCUCUCCAAACUGUGGGGUUUGAGUGAGAGGUCUGACUGGCGUCUCCAAGUGGCCACACCUCUCCAAACUGUGCAUAGUUCCUAAGUAAUUUCAAUGCACCUUUCUGACUUAAAGAAGUCUUCAGCUAUAAGGUGCUUUUUUGAGCUCUCCUAGCUGGACCGUUGAGGAACUAGAGGAAGCACACUUGUAGUUGUUUUCUUUGGAACACAGCCCUUCCUCCUCGUCAUCACACAUUUACUGCUGUUGUUUAGGCAAACUAAACACUGUCAUUAUAAAUAGCAAUCUGGGUCAGGUGGGCAUCAUUUAAAAGCCUGUUCUGUUGCCAACAUGACUAGCUAAGAUAUAAAAUAUGACAUUACAGUGUUAGGCUUUCACAAGGCAAUUCAGAGAAACAGACCAUGAUGUUGGCGUGCAGAGAAAGGAGUGAUGACCGUAUUCACGUGUGUGUGCAGAGGCUAACAUAGUCUCAUUCUGUUCAGAACAACCCAGGGUAUGACGACAAGUCAUCUGGUAACUACAUCAAACAUAGUCUCAUUCUGUUCAGAACAACCCAGGGUAUGACGACAAGUCAUCUGGUAACUGUACAUCAAACAUAGUCUCAUUCUGUUCAGAACAACCCAGGGUAUGACGACAGUCAUCUGGUAACUACAUCUAACAUAGUCUCAUUCUGUUCAGAACAACCCAGGGUAUGACGACAAGUCAUCUGGUAACUGUACAUCAAACAUAGUCUCAUUCUGUUCAGAACAACCCAGGGUAUGACGACAAGUCAUCUGGUAACUGUACAUCAAACAUAGUCUCAUUCUGUUCAGAACAACCCAGGGUAUGACGACAAGUCAUCUGGUAACUACAUCAACCAUAGUCUCAUUCUGUUCAGAACAACCCAGGGUAUGACGAUAAGUCAUCUGGUAACUGUACUCACAGGCGAUGCAUGACAUCAAAGCGAUAUUUAUUAUAAUCCUCAACAUAAUGCAUAUUGUCCUCUUAAUUGACAGCAUUUUCACUCAGACAACAAAACAUUUGCAAAAGUUACGAGGAGGGAUGGGUUGCAGCUUUACGUUGCGUGAGGUUCUCAAGUUCAGAAUGUCUGUCAGUCAAAACUCAUACAUCGCUGUGAUGAGCAUUACGUUCCAAUUUAGGUAUUUAUUGGUGCCCAAAUCUGCCAUUUUCAACCCGGAUGGAUACGAGUACGAGUGUAAAGGGUUAAGGUUAGGAUUGGGGGAGGGGAAGCUGAUCCUAGAUCUGUACCUAGGGAGCUUAGUCCUGUGCGAUGUUGAAUGUCUGGGGUUAGAGGUUAGAGAUCGGGGUUUAAAGGUCAGGGGUCAGUCCACUUGCAUGUUACGUAGCAGCAGUCCUUUCUUCACCCCUCCCUGCAGCAUCCUGGCACCUAGACUACUGCCAGCCGUACCAUCACUACAGAAAGAUAAGGAGAGAGGGAUGACGUGAGAGAGAUGGAUGGAGGGAGAGAGAGGGAUGGAAAGAGAGAGGGAUGGAAAGAGAGGGAUGGAAAGAGAGAGGGAUGGAGCGAGAGAGAUGGAUGAGGGAGAGAGAGGGAUGGAAAGAGAGAGGGAGGGAGAUAGAGGAGAGAGAGAGAAGGAGAUGGAAAGAGAGGAUGGAAGAGAGGGAUGGAAAGAGAGAGGGAUGGAAAGAGAGAGAUGGAUGGAGGGAGAGAGAGGGAGGGAAAGAGAGAGGGGGAGAGAGAGGCGAUGGAGAGAGAGGGAGGGAGAUAGAGGAGAGAGAGAGAGAGGAGAGAGAGAGGAGAGAUGGAUGGAGGGAGAGAGGAGGAUGGAAAGAGAGAGGGGGAGAGAGAGGCAAUGGAGAGAGGGAGGGAGAUAGAGCGAGAAGAGGGGUGAAGGGGAGAAAAGAGGAAGAGGGAAAUUAGGGAGAAGAGAGAGGGAGAGAAUGUGUUAGGUGUGGAAGUUUGUCUAUGUGUUGGAUGUGCGUGCGUGUGCGUAUGUG
ensembl:lncRNA